GCCGCGCGCGGCGGGUAGGAGGCCGCGGAGGCCCCGGGGGCGAAGGCGGCGCGCAGGCCCCGCCGGACCGGCCUCCGGUGCAGAUCUCGGCAGCAGUAGCCGCUACUCCGCGCCCCGGAGGACUGAGGAGGAGAAGGGUUCCGCGGCGCCUGCACGUGGCCGCGGGUGACUCGGCCCUAAGCGGCGGGUGAAGACCGGGAAGGGGCGUGCCCGCCCGUCGACCGGGAAGCCGGCGGAGACUCCGGCAGGCGCGGCCCCCGCGGCGACGCCCGCCCGCCGGCGACGCGCACGGGGGACGCGGCGGGCGGCGCCCCGGCCCGCGAACGCCCCGCAGCCCCCGGACGCCUUGCGCGGAGAGGGGGGCCCGGGGGCGGAGCCCGCGCUCCCCCGGCCGCCCCUGAAAAGCCGGCGGGCGCAGGCCGCGCGCCGUACCGACCACCGCAGCAGGUCUCCGGGGUCAGCAGCCUCUAGCGCGGGAGCGAACGCGGCUCAGGGAAGUCGGCAAGCCGGCUCCGUAACCUCGGGAAAAGGAGUGGCUCUGACGGCGCGCCGGGUCAGAACUGGAACGGACGCGGGGAUCCCGACUGUUUACUAGAAACAUAGCGUCGCGAGGGCCGCACCCGGCGCUGGCGCGACGUGAUUUCUGCCCAGUGCCACGACAGUCACCGUGAAGAGAUCCGCCCAAGCCCUGGUAAACGGCGGGAGUAACUAUGACUCUCUUAAGGUAGCCAAAUGCCUCGUCGGGCAAUUUCCGACGUGCAUGAAUGGACCAACGAGGAUCCCACUGUCCCGAGCCGCGCCUCCGCGAACCUCCAGACUCGGGAACGGGCGAGUGCCGGCCAGCGGGGCAAGAAGACCCUUUUGAGCUUGACUCCAGCCCGGGCCUGUGGGGCGGGGCGGCCGGCGCAGCGCACAGGGGAGGCCGCGCCCCUGAGACACCCUGACGGCCGCCGCCGCCCCGCUCACCCGGUCGCGCGGGGACCCGCCCGGGCGGGGAGUUUGGCUGGGGCGGCGCGCCUGCUACACCGGACCGCAGGCGUCCCACGGCGGGCUCAGCGAGGACGGAAACCUCCCGCGGAGCAGAAGGGCACAAGCCCGCCCGACCCGCGCCCCCCGUGCCGGCGCGGGCCGCGAAAGCGGGGCCUACCGAUCCUUCGCCGCCCGGGCCGCGGGCGCGGAGGUGACAGAAAAGUUACCACAGGGAUAACUGGCUUGUGGCCGCCGAGCGCCCGCAGCGACGCGGCUUUUUGAUCCUUCGAUGUCGGCUCUUCCUACCGUCCGCGCGCACCGGCGCGGAAGCGUCGGAUUGUUCACCCGUUCAAGGGAUCGUGAGCUGGGUUUAGACCGUCGUGAGACAGGUUAGUUUUACCCUACUGGCCCCGGGGCCAGAGCACGGCGGGCCAGUACGAGAGGAACGCCCGCCGCGGGCCGCCAGCCCCGCGGUUGCCCGGCCGGGCAGCGCCGCGCCGCCGCGCCCGGGGGCCC
rnacentral:rRNA from 1 species